rnacentral:rRNA from 1 species
UUUUGAACGCAACUGGCGCUAGCUGGAACUCCAGCUAGCAUGCUUGUUUCAGUGUCUUUUUCUUUCCUAACCGAAAUCAUAAUGCGAGAGAUAACCUUCUCUUGUUAAACAUGAAAGCACUCUGCGCUCUGCGAGCGACUUUGAUUCGUCUUAGUCGCACUCAAUGCAGCAGUCACAUUGUUUACAGUGUGAACUCAUUGAGAGUAGAGGCAGCGCGGCCUUACAGCUGCACGUGCUUAGACACUCAAACUUUUCUUGUAUCUGAAAUCAAGCAGGACCACCCGCUGAACUUAAGCGUAUCAAUAAGCGGA